UCCGUUAUGGUGUAGUGGCUAACAUUAUCGCCUCUCAUAAUUUGGAACGUGAUUAGCACGCGAUAGCCCAGGGUUCGAUUCCCUGUAACGGAA